rnacentral:rRNA from 1 species
UCCGUAGGUGGAUCAAUCAGUCAGAGGUGAAAUCCUGCAGCUUAACUGUAGAACUGCCUUUGAUACUGUUGAUCUUGAGUCAUUAUGAAGUGGUUAGAAUGUGUAGUGUAGCGGUGAAAUGCAUAGAUAUUACACAGAAUACCGAUUGCGAAGGCAGAUCACUAAUAAUGUACUGACACUGAGGUACGAAAGCGUGGGGAGCGAACAGGAUUAGAUACCCUGGUAGUC